CUAAUAUUUAAUUUCAGAUAAUAGGCUGCAAUCUGGAUCUUUGUAUGUGGAUAGCAUGCAGAGGGUCCUGAUCAUUCUGUCCUAUAGAGGGAGAUGGUCUAAUUUAGAUCCUGAGCUACAUUGCACAGCUACUCAGGUUGAAAACUGAUGGCUGGAGAUCCUGAAGGCCUCAUUCCACAACACAUCCAACAGGUCAGGUAAGCACACGCAGCUUGUGGAACAGUCUCAGUCCUUCACCUUCCCUGCCUUCCCAGGAUGGAGAAAGCUCCCUCCCUGCCCCCUUUGUGGGUCCUAUUGUUAAUCCUCUCCUCCUGCAUCUUUUAUAAUAAUCCAGAUCUUUUACCUCUCCAUUGUGUCCAAAAUUCACCAUUAAACUACAAGUGUUAUUUCAAUCCUACUAACAAUUUUAACUGUUUACAAUGGUUUUUAAGAUCAAUUAUAAAUUUCCCCCAUUUGUUAUUAAAAUUUUGGUCUUCCUGAUUUCUGAUUCUUCCAGUCAUUUUAGCCAUUUCGGCAUAAUCCAUCAACUUGAUCUGCCAUUCUUCUCUGGUAGGGACUUUAUCUUCUUUUCCAUCUCUGGGCCAAUGACAUCUGCACAGCCGUGGUCGCAUACAUAAACAGUCUUUUCUGCUCCCUUUGGAUUUUGGCACCUAUAAUUCCUAAAAGGAAGGCUUCGGCUUGUUUUUUUUUAAAAAAGAAAAGGUUAUUUUAAACAUCCCCCCCAACUCUUUGUUUCAUAUGGGUUUGGGUCUGCUUGUUGUUAAGUCUUCUGGUGUUUAUCAGGAGCAAAUAAAACUCAUUACAUUUUUGUUGUUGUUGUUCCUCGCCAAUAAGUAAUAUUAGCAACAUUUCUCAAAGGGGGUGGGCGGGCUACAUCUUUCUAACUGUAUGGCAAUGGGAAGUUUUGUUGACUAUGGUCUAAAGUAGUCUGGCCCCUUGUUCAUUCAUAGAACAGUUAACCAUCACUAUACAAACCCCCACCCCACCCCCAAAUAAAAUACCUGUGGAACCAAUUUUUUUUAAACGGGGGGAAGAUGAGCCUUUUUUGAAAUUGGAUGGCAGUGUAAGGGUUAACGUCUUCUCAUUCAUUUCUGGCACACAGUCUCCUGUUCUUUCCAUGUUUCACUGCACAACCUUGUCAGACAUUCUGAAUGAAUGAGACUUCAAAGGUGGGUAAAGUGUGGGGAGCUACCAGUGAGAGACAUUUAGAAUGUUUAAUUGAAAUGAUGUAUCACCAAGCCUUCUUUACUGCAAGAAUAAGACACUCAAAGAAAAGGGACAGGAAUUCCUACCUUGCCUGGCCAUGCAUUUCAGGUGUGUCUCUUUUGGUCUGGAUGUAUAAAGCUUAAAGUUAUUUCAUGGCCAACAAUCUCAGACUUUUUGCUUUGUUUUCAUCACACGCUUUCAACCAAAAAAUGCAAAACUUACCGAGAUUGAAAUAAUCUUAUAAAAUUGAUUCGAUACUAAUUCACAUAGAACAAACUAAAGUUGUAAUGAUAAAUUCUAAUACUGUAUACAUAUAUCAAUCCACACUGGGAAGUCUUUAUAGCAUAUAUAAUCACUGGCAGACGGCAGUGGGGGCGGGGGUGGCAGGCCGCCCCAGGUGCCAUCGGGGUGGUGCCACCAUGCCCACCCCAGGAC
rnacentral:lncRNA from 1 species